AUUCCCUGCCCACAGUGAGUUUACAGUCUAGAGAUGCAGUUCCAAAGAUGCUGAUGCCUCUUCCGGCUAUGCUCUCACAUCUCCUCUAGACUGUAAGCUCACUGUGGGCAGAGAAC
rnacentral:pre_miRNA from 1 species